rnacentral:pre_miRNA from 1 species
UUCUUGAAAGUAAGAAUUGGAGGAACUCAAGUCAUCUGUUCCAACUUACAUUUGAUUUGGUUUCCUCCAAUAUCUUAUCUUCAGAUG